GACGAACGCUGGCGGCGUCGCCGUAACGACAUGCAAGGUCGAGCGAGAAUCUCAGUUAUUGGAUUUACGUUCGGAAUGAUUUAGUGAGAGGAAAGCGGCGGACGGGUGAGUAACGCGUGAGUAACCUGCCUUCAGGAGGGGGACAACAUUCCGAAAGGGAUGCUAAUACCGCAUGAUAUAUAUUGUAGGCAUCUACGAUAUAUCAAAGAUUUAUCGCCUGAAGAUGGACUCGCGUCUGAUUAGAUAGUUGGUGAGGUAAUGGCUCACCAAGUCGACGAUCAGUAGCCGAACUGAGAGGUUGAUCGGCCACAUUGGGACUGAGACACGGCCCAG
rnacentral:rRNA from 1 species